rnacentral:lncRNA from 1 species
UUAAUUUUCUAUUAUUGAAACGUAAUCCUGCUUAUAGUUUUUUUGCCCAAUCCAUGCUAACUUUGGAUAGAAAAUUCUUCCUAUGGCAAUUCGUUGAAAAUCAUAUUCUCACGUCCACUAACAUGGCUAUUUCCUUGAAUAAAUUCAGGAAAUGAGUAUAGUGCAGAGAAUCUUAUUACACUAGUAAGGGAAGAUUUACAUCAAUAUAAAUCUUGUGAUAUUCAUGUUUUGACUUUUACUAUUGGCGCUUCGGUAAUUGGCUAAUUUGGAAGCUAGAAUAUCUCGUACAGUAAGAAAAUAUGCCAUACUAAAAGUUUCUCCUUGGUCAGAGUAUGAACUCCAUCUGAAGAAUAACGGAAAGGAAACUUCCCUAUCAGGAUAUGGUCAAGCUUUCCAUAUUAUUUUGAUGGACUUGUGGAAAAAAGAUAUUUUGCGUGCAUGUUAUCAUUUACAUGGUUUGAUCCGUCUCAAAACAAAAGAAGUGGAUAAAUUGCUAUAAUUGAGUUAAAAAAAAGAAGAAGAAAAAAAGAAAAAACAACUUGUAAAAGUAGUUAUAGUACUUGUCUUUCCUUGAGUGGUAAAGGUAGGACGUCAACCUUAUAUGUUAACACAAGGGGUUGAAGUCUAAAAUAGGGAAGAAAACAGGCUCUACUUAUAAUUUUUUCCAACUCCAUGUAUUUAUUGCUAGUGGUUGGCUAUGAGAUCUUAUGGAACAACGUUCGUAGCUUGAUUCUUGGCAGCUUUUGGAGACCUUUUUUAAAGCAUGUAUUCCUUUCCCUGACUCUGUUGUGCUGUUGCAGUUUCACGAGUGCCCUGAAAGAGCAAUUAAAAAUAUAGUGAAGGAAGCAUUUCGGCUUCUUCGACCUGGAGGCACUUUUGCUGUGACUGAUAACUCGGUAAAUAGCUUUAGAAUAUUGCAAAUAGUGUUCAUCUUUUAUGUAAUGUAAUAAUAUAUCAUACCAGACCAUUUCUUACAUUACUUUCCUUUUGUUCUCUUUUGCAGCCAAAAUCAAAGAUUCUUCAGGUAUGUUUUGUUUGUUGCUUUGUCAAGUUUUCUUUUGGCUUUUCUUCAUCAUGUGAUCAAGCUUUCCAUUAUCACUCAUGAUGAAAACAUCUGGAUCUCGCUUUUCUAAAUUCUUAGACCAAAAGAGAACAAUGGUCGGAAG